GAUGAACGCUGGCGGCGUGCUUAACACAUGCAAGUCGAACGAAGCACUUUACUACGAUUUCUUCGGAAUGACGGUUUUGUGACUGAGUGGCGGACGGGUGAGUAACGCGUGGAUAACCUGCCUCAUACAGGGGGAUAACAGCCGGAAACGGCUGCUAAUACCGCAUAAGCGCACGGUACCGCAUGGUACAGUGUGAAAAACUCCGGUGGUAUGGGAUGGAUCCGCGUCUGAUUAGCCAGUUGGCGGGGUAACGGCCCACCAAAGCGACGAUCAGUAGCCGGCCUGAGAGGGUGAACGGCCACAUUGGGACUGAGACACGGCCCAAACUCCUACGGGAGGCAGCAGUGGGGAAUAUUGCACAAUGGGGGAAACCCUGAUGCAGCGACGCCGCGUGAGUGAGGAAGUAUUUCGGUAUGUAAAACUCUAUCAGCAGGGAAGAUAAUGACGGUACCUGACUAAGAAGCCCCGGCUAACUACGUG
rnacentral:rRNA from 1 species